ensembl:Mt_tRNA
GUUUAUGUAGCUUAUUCUAUCCAAAGCAAUGCACUGAAAAUGUCUCGACGGGCCCACACGCCCCAUAAACA